rnacentral:rRNA from 1 species
GUGGGGAAUAUUGGACAAUGGGCGAAAGCCUGAUCCAGCCAUGCCGCGUGUGUGAAGAAGGUCUUCGGAUUGUAAAGCACUUUAAGUUGGGGGGAAGGGCAGUAAGUUAAUACCUUGCUGUUUUGACGUUACCGACAGAAUAAGCACCGGCUAACUUCGUGCCAGCAGCCGCGGUAAUACGAAGGGUGCAAGCGUUAAUCGGAAUUACUGGGCGUAAAGCGCGCGUAGGUGGUUUUGUAAGUUGGAGGUGAAAUCCCCGGGCUCAACCUGGGAACUGCCUCCAAAACUGCAUGACUAGAGUACGGUAGAGGGUAGUGGAAUUUCCUGUGUAGCGGUGAAAUGCGUAGAUAUAGGAAGGAACACCAGUGGCGAAGGCGACUACCUGGACUGAUACUGACACUGAGGUGCGAAAGCGUGGGGAGCAAACAGGAUUAGAAACCCGGGUAGUCC